GCCCAAUAACGAGAUGCAGGUGAACUGGGG
rnacentral:piRNA from 1 species